rnacentral:rRNA from 1 species
GAUGAACGCUGGCGGCGUGCUUAACACAUGCAAGUUGAACGAAGUGGCGGAUGGGCGAGUAACACGUGAGGAACCUGCCUUUCACUGGGGAAUAACACUGGGAAACCAGUGCUAAUACCGCAUACUAACGGAUGAACCCAUAUGGGAUUAGCUAGUAGGUGGGGUACAGGCUCACCUAGGUGAUGAUAAGUAGCAGGACGGACGGUUGAUCGGCCGCAUGGGGACUGAGACACGGCCCAGACUCCUACGGGAGGCAGCAGUGGGGAAUAUUGGGCAAUGGCGCAAGCCUGAACAAGGAACGCGGGGUGAAGGAAGACGGUCUUCGGAUUGUAAACUUCUUUAGACAGGGACGCGGUACCUGUAGAAUAAGCCACGGCUAACUACGUGCCAGCAGCCGCGGUAAUUC